rnacentral:tRNA from 1 species
GCCUGGGUGGCUCAGUCGGUUGAGCAUCUGACUUCAGCUCAGGUCACAAUCUCCUGUCUAUGGGUUUGAGCCCCACAUCAGGCU